UACGUAGGGUGCGAGCGUUGUCCGGAAUUAUUGGGCGUAAAGAGCUUGUAGGCGGUUUGUCGCGUCUGUUGUGAAAUCUCAAGGCUCAACCUUGAGCUUGCAGUGGGUACGGGCAGACUAGAGUGUGGUAGGGGAGACUGGAAUUCCUGGUGUAGCGGUGAAAUGCGCAGAUAUCAGGAGGAACACCGAUGGCGAAGGCAGGUCUCUGGGCCACUACUGACGCUGAGAAGCGAAAGCAUGGGGGAGCGAACAGG
rnacentral:rRNA from 1 species